UUCUGAAGAUCAUUCCCAGAACAGUCAGCUAGGAUUGACUAGCAAGUCAGAGCGAUCUUCUCUCCUUUAUUUUGUUUGGGGUUUUUUUUAAUGGUUUCAUUGUCUGAAGGUGAACAGCUUUUAUCUAAAUGCAAUUUUAGGAACCGUACAAUAUUUCAAGAACGAAGCAAUCUGCAUGUAAGUGAGGUUUUGGAGUGUUUGUUUACUGAAUGUAAAAGUUGUUAAAAGUUCAUAUCCUAAAACUGGAUCAAGGAUUCUAAUCAGACUGGAGUUGAAGUUCCUUCCAUGCAAAAAAAGAAAAAAGAAAAUAAAAGAAAGAAAGAAAGAAAAAAAAAGCUUUCAAGUACUCUCAGUCAAUUAGGAAAGACUACCAUCAGAUUUUUUCCAAGAACCCACUGAUGACCUCCAGUGAGCUCCAUUCAAUAAUGUCAGCAUGACUACAGUUGGCAAUGGAGACUAAAACUGUUUGCAGGACCACUGCUUCUGGACAUCGAGUCCCCUCUGUAUAAUCACUGGGCUAAGAUCAUUAAACAAGAACUGGUACUGCGGUUUACACUAAAAGUCCAUCUAGACCAGCAUCCUUCCUCUAAGAGUAGCCACAACGGGACACUUCACAUAAACAUUCCCAUCCUUUGUCUCCUAUUGAACUUCAGGAGUUGUUUGCCUGUCAGAGAACCACCCCUUUUUAACUAUGCUGCCAUUUUGUAAGAGCCUUUGUUACAGGAGUGUUAAAAGCUUAUUCAAAUCCAAAUAACACUGUAUCAACAAGUCAUCUUACCCACUUCCUCCUCAAUUAUUUGAAAUAACUCAAAAAGACCUUUGGAGAAAGGAGUCAUUUUUACAUUGCAUAGCAUGUUUUGUCAAUCUUAUUUUGAUCUCAGGCC